rnacentral:rRNA from 1 species
AGUCUGCAACUCGACUACAUGAAGCUGGAAUCGCUAGUAAUCGCGGAUCAGAAUGCCGCGGUGAAUACGUUCCCGGGUCUUGUACACACCGCCCGCCACACCAUGGGAGUCGGAAAUGCCCGAAGUCUGUGACCCAACCUACGGGAGGGAGCAGCCGAAGGCAGGUCGGAUGACUGGGGUGAAGUCGUAACAAGGUACC